CAGCAGCCGCGGGAAUACAGAGGGUGCGAGCGUUAAUCGGAUUUACUGGGCGUAAAGCGUGCGUAGGCGGCUAAUUGAGUCGGAUGUGAAAUCCCCGAGCUUAACUUGGGAAUUGCAUUCGAUACUGGUUAGCUAGAGUGUGGGAGAGGAUGGUAGAAUUCCAGGUGUAGCGGUGAAAUGCGUAGAGAUCUGGAGGAAUACCGAUGGCGAAGGCAGCCAUCUGGCCUAAUACUGACGCUGAGGUACGAAAGCAUGGGGAGCAAACAGGAUUAGAGACCCCUGUAGUCCCUGUCUCUUAUAC
rnacentral:rRNA from 1 species